rnacentral:rRNA from 1 species
AUUGAACGCUGGCGGCAUGCCUUACACAUGCAAGUCGAACGGCAGCAUGAUCUAGCUUGCUAGAUUGAUGGCGAGUGGCGAACGGGUGAGUAAUACAUCGGAACGUGCCCUGUAGUGGGGGAUAACUAGUCGAAAGAUUAGCUAAUACCGCAUACGACCUGAGGGUGAAAGUGGGGGACCGCAAGGCCUCAUGCUAUAGGAGCGGCCGAUGUCUGAUUAGCUAGUUGGUGAGGUAAAGGCUCACCAAGGCGACGAUCAGUAGCUGGUCUGAGAGGACGAUCAGCCACACUGGGACUGAGACACGGCCCAGCCUCCUACGGGAGGCAGCAGUGGGGAAUUUUGGACAAUGGGCGAAAGCCUGAUCCAGCAAUGCCGAGUGUGUGAAGAAGGCCUUCGGGUUGUAAAGCACUUUUGUCCGGAAAGAAAUGGCUCUGGUUAAUACCUGGGGUCGAUGACGGUACCGGAAGAAUAAGGACCGGCUAACUACGUG